CACCAAACUCUCCCUCAUCAGAAACACAAUCCUCAACUGCAGGUCCCAUGGGGCUGACCUGAUAGGGAAUGACUGAAGUUCUUAAUAUGUUGCUGGGCACACAGGUCUCAAGAGCUAUGUAAUCUAAAAAAUGGUGCCUGAGAAUGCAAGAUCCAAGUCAGAGAUGACUUCAAUUUAAUUCCACAGAUGCUAAGCACCUACUUUGUGUAAAACCCUGAGACUUGGUCUCUAAGUGUGAGAGGCAUGGCAAGGAAGAGGGAUGUCCCAUUGAUCACCCGAACAGAGUAGCUAUUCUGGAGCCACUCAGCUGGUAAAGUCAUUUUCCACAAAGCUGCACUCCUUUGGACUGAACUGUAUCACACCCCCCAGGACCUCAUCAUCCUUCAAGAUGACAUCAGCCUUGGUACUCAUACUUCAACAGUACCCUGCCCCCUGAUUCUCAGGCUGGCAUCUCAGCUCCAGAUCAGCAACAAAUCAAAAGGCUCAUCUUCACAAGCUAAGAAGACCAAAACAAGACCUGGACAGUCGCUGAACACCAUAUGAGGAUUGCAUUACCAGAACAGAGUGCUCAUGCUUAUAAGGGUUGGGCUUGUCCAAUCACCCAUUAUACAGAACAAGACUUAUGUCUAGAAUAGACAUACUGCACAGGCGGCAAAUGAGUCCUAUGGAUCUCAGAGACAUCAAGGAAAAAAAAAGGUUUUUUGGAUCAUUGCAAAUAUAUGAUAGCCUCAAAAAUAUUUUCUUAUCCUAGCCUGGAGGGACCUCAAACAGUUAUCUAAUUCUUGUUCCCUUUACUUUCAAACUAGCAUACUGUAUGUCAUGGAAGAAGACUCCAAAAUCUCCUUGUAAAGCAUUCCAGUGCCCUUUUGAUCUCUGAUUCUCAUUCUACAGUGGCAGAAAUGUCAAAGAUCCAA